rnacentral:rRNA from 1 species
AUACGUAGGGUGCAAGCGUUAAUCGGAAUUACUGGGCGUAAAGCGUGCGCAGGCGGUUUUGUAAGACAGAGGUGAAAUCCCCGGGCUCAACCUGGGAACUGCCUUUGUGACUGCAAGGCUAGAGUACGGCAGAGGGGGGUGGAAUUCCGCGUGUAGCAGUGAAAUGCGUAGAUAUGCGGAGGAACAACGAUGGCGAAGGCAAUCCCCUGGGCCUGUACUGACGCUCAUGCACGAAAGCGUGGGGAGCAAACAGGAUUAGAUACCCUGGUAGUCCACGCCCUAAACGAUGUCAACUGGUUGUUGGGUCUUCAUUGACUCAGUAACGAAGCUAACGCGUGAAGUUGACCGCCUGGGGAGUACGGCCGCAAGGUUGAAACUUAAAGGAAUUGACGGGG